CAUCAUGCUCAGCUAAUUUUUUGUAUUUUUAGUAGAGACGAGGUUUCACCGUGUUAGCCAGGAUGGUGUCGAUAUCCUGACCUCCUGAUCCACCCGCCAUGGCUUCCCAAAGUGCUGGGAUUACAGGCAUGAGCCACCACGCCCGGCCAAUAUAUUGGUUUCUUUAUGAAAAUUAUACUGGAUCUGUUACAGCUUUUGUCUGGUCCUCUGAGCCCCAGUGAGAGUUUCCUGAGGUACCUCACCCUUCCACAAGACAACAGGCUUGCCAUUGAUCUGCAACAAACGGCGGUUGUUGUCAUGGCCCAUUUAGACCGUCUGGCUACACCCUGUAGAUGCCUCCUCUGUGUAGCUCUCCGACGUCUCAUAAGAGUCAUUUUUUACAGGUCAGAACUGUAGAAAUAAUGAGAAAGUGACACUUGUACGCAUAGCUGAUUUGGAGAACCAUAAUAACGAUGGAGGCUUCUGGACUGUGAUUGACGGGAAAGUGUAUGAUAUAAAGGACUUCCAGACACAGUCGUUAACAGAAAAUAGUAUUCUUGCUCAGUUUGCAGGGGAAGACCCAGUGGUAGCUUUGGAAG
rnacentral:lncRNA from 1 species